rnacentral:rRNA from 1 species
GACGUAGGGGGCCAGCGUUGUUCGGAAUUACUGGGUGUAAAGGGUCAGUAGGCGGUGCGGCAAGUCGGGAGUGAAAUCUCUGGGCUUAACCCAGAGGCUGCUUCCGAAACUGCUGUGCUUGAGUGUGGGAGAGGCGCGUGGAAUUGCAGGUGUAGCGGUGAAAUGCGUAGAUAUCUGCAGGAACACCCGUGGCGAAAGCGGCGAGCUGGACCACAACUGACGCUGAAUGACGAAAGCUAGGGGAGCAAACAGG